CAUUCCCUCUGUUAUUUCCCUCAAAUAUUUUCCCCUUUUUAUUUCAGUUUCAGUCAAAAACAAAAAAUAAUCAAACUUCUAUCUCUCGCAGCCCCAUACCUAUCAUCGCCGCCGUAGAUACUCUUCAUCGUAGGUUUCACUACUCUCUCUCUUCCUCUUUCGCUCUUUCUAUCUCUCUCUACAUCUCUCUCUCUCUUUGUGUAUGCGUGUUUGUCACAAUUUGGAUGUGGAUUCUUCAACUGUUAAUUGAUUUUGUCUUCAAUUUCUGGGUUUAUGUUAAUUUGUUGAUAUUUUGAUUACUAUGAUUUAGGAUUUUGAGUUUAUGUGUUCAAUUUAUGUAUUCUUCAUUUUAGGGUUUGAUUCAUUGGUUCUUUUUGGGGUUUGAUUCAUGGGUUCUUUUUUGUUAAUCUUUUUAGUUAGGUUUUUGAGUUCAAUUGAAUUUAGUACCACCAUACAGAACACAUGAACCUCAACUCUCCCUCCCCCAUUACAUAUUAAACAUCACUUGUGAUAUGAGAUGUUGUCUUCAAUUUCUCUGAAAUUGUUGUUUUAUUUUAAGAGUCAAGACUAAGAUAUUUGCUAAUCUAAAAAUGCAGAAUGUAAAUUUUUUAUACUUGAACUGUUAAGUAAAAUUUAGGUCUCAGUUUGACUAGUUUUUUUGUGCUUUCUCUUUACUAUGUCAUAAUUAAAAUGCUUUUUGGUUGUUAUAUUUCUAUAUUAGGUUGUGCUGUUGAGAUUAGAUUAAGUGCCACAUGUAUGGGGAUAAAGAUAAACCAUGUUCAUAUUUUGUUAAAAGUUCUCUUAAAUGCAAAAUAAAAUAAAUUUAUCCCAAAAAUACGAGAAUUAUAUAGAUUCAAUUUGAUAGAAAAUAGAUAGUUUUAAGUUAAUGCUUUCGAAAACAUGUAUUCAAUCAUGUGUUUUGUUUUUAGUUUGGAAUGUUUCAGGUACAAGGAGACGACACCAAUAUAUGCUAAUAUCAUUGUUAGCCUGUUCAUGUGUCUCAACUUUUGUAUCUUCUCUUCUAUUUUUGAGCAGGUUAUCUGAAGAGCCUAAGGUUAAGUUAAUGUCUGAGCCUCAAAAGCUACCAAUAGACAAGUAAUUGGUAACUUAUUGCAAGAGUGAUUGUUUAUACUUCGGUUACCAUGUCAUUCAAAUUAGUUUUAAAAUUUUAAUUUCGGCUUUGGCUCAACAGUCAACAUGUAUAUGAUUUUGUUGUUGUGCUUGAUAUUCCAUUUGAUUUUAGUAGAGCAAAUGUAAUUGAGUCUUAGCAAUGAUGUGUUAUUAUGGUUGUGUUCAAUUGAAUUUUAAUGAAUCACAUUUAGCCUUUUCUUAUUAUGUUAAUAGUGUUUCCCUUCUGAUGACUUUCUAUAAAGUCUAAGUGUGUGGAGAUUGUCCAUUUCUUGUUUCAUACUUUCCUGAUCCUUUAGCAUCAACCUCAGGAGCAGAUGGCAGCUUGUCGAUAUCUAGAUCUAGUGUUGAUCAUGAAAUCAAUUUGAGGAUUUAUUUGUAGAUGGAUGCUGUUGUAAAUUCAACCAAUGAGGUUUAGCAUUUGAAUGAGGGAUUAUAUUUUUCAAAUGGAGGACAAGGAACUUGAUUUCUUGCCGCUGGGUUUGUGUUCAUCUUCUCGCCGCUAGGUUUGUGUUCAUCUUCCUCUCACCAUUGGGUUUGCAUUCAUAGCUCUCGUCAAUGGGUUUACAUUCAGUUUCCUUCACUAGUGAUUAUAUUCAGGCCAUGUCAGGUGCAUUGCUUGUUUGUUUACCAUUGAAUUUCAAAUCAACAUUAGUUUAUCAUCACCUACAAUGUUUAAGGUUUCAUUAUGUUGUUAUUUAUUAUUACAGAAGGCUUAAAUAGUUAAGGGUUAGAGAGAAGGGAACCAAAGUAUUUUGAAGGUUGAUUAAUAGAGGAAGACAAGAAGCAAGGAUCUAGGAGUUCAUUAUAAUUCUUGUGUUAUUUCAUAUAUCUAUGUUUUUUCUAUAAAUGUAUAAAAUUGAUCUUCUCUAGGGGAAAGUUACUUAUUUUGUUGUGAAGUUAAUGAAGAGUGUGUGUGUGUUGUGUUUACCUGUCAAACUGAAUGUGGCCUUAUAUCGCGCAGGUUUACCUUUGUAGAACCCAUUCAUCCGAAGAUUGUAGGAAACCUGUAAGAUGCUCAAGCUUUUGCUCGUAAUCAAGCCAAAAAGGGAACUGUUCGAUUCAACAUGGUGUUGCUACCUCUAAUCCGCUGCUGCGAUUAAUUCUGUGCUAAAGAGAUGGAUGCUAAUGAAAAUAAUGUGAUGGGCGGUGAAGUUUAGCUUUAGUUACUUUCCUUCCGUUAUGUAGUUUUUUCAAAACAAUUAUAUGUAUUUGAUAUUACUAUCUAAGUGCUAUAGUGUUGCAGUUGAUACUUUGUAAGAAUGACAUAAAUUUUUAUGUUAAUGUUGUAAAUUUGGUGUCAA